AUUCCACAUCAGACUUAAAGCGAAUCAAUCGCAGCACAGACUUACUUUAUAUACAUACACAAGAUACAUAGACUAUAUACAAUCAACAUGCAAUUGAUCAAGAUUUGCGGCUUUGUCUUUGCUCUGAUUGUGGCUAUGGCCAGCGCUGAGCCGGAGCCUCAAGGCACGCUGCUGAUCCAAACAAAUAGGGGUCAGGGCAUUUUCAGAGGCUAAAACUUAACUUUUCGAGUUAACUUAAA